AGGACAAGUCCCUCCAGACGUAUCAAAGAGGACUAUGCAAAGGGUAUUAUUACCUUGUUCCCUUACCUGGCUGAUCCUAAGAGCAGAUUUGGCUAUGAGCAUUAUUACAAUGCAGAAGAUGGGAGUGGGUAUCUGGCUUGGAGACUGAAGUUUGUCCAGAGGGAAGCUUCUAAUGGACAAAAGAAGGUCCCCAGACUGUCACAAACCCAAACAGGGGGACCAACAACUGACAGAGACUGUUUGAGAGAAGAAGACUGCCUUUUGACAGACAGCUUGUGUUCUGAAGCCAUUGCGCUGAUGAAGCACACAACUGAUGAAGGAACUG